rnacentral:lncRNA from 10 species
GAGGCUGGGGUGGGGAGGAGAUCCAUUCUGACUUCCAGCCUCCCACUGGGUCAUUGUUAGAAUCAGGUUGGCCUGAGGUAGGGCCCUAGCAAGGUGGUAACUCAAUGCUAUGGCUCAUUUGAUCCCUAUUUUGGGUUGUAAUCCAUUUUAAGGGGGAAAGGCCAAUCUUUUAUACUAAUUAGGCAGCGACAGUUCCUAACUGAGAUGUUUCUUGUGAAACAGCUAAUGGAGUUGUAUAUCAGUGAACAGUAACAGGUUUAGUAGAUCCCAGUGCUGCUGAGGAUACUCUCUGUGUACAUCAUGCUGGAAAAAAUUUCAGAUGUAAUUUCCAGCAAGCACCUUCACCCCAUUUUAUCAAAUAGCAAUGCAAGUCCCAGAGAGAUUAACUGACAUUGAGCUCAUGGCAGAAUCAGGUAUUUUGACUCCAAGUUCAGGGUUCCGUUCACUAUAACCACCACUUACAGACUUCUCCAGCAAUAAUGAGGUGAGCAAAACAAGGUGGCUUUCUCUGCUCUUUGAGAUUUCUGAAAUCAGUGUUCUUCAUUCUCUGUAGAUGUAAAUGCAUCCUGCUAAACUUAAAGUGACAGCAAAUACUUUUCUGGAAGAGCUUUUUAUGGAAGAAGGAGGUUAUAUAUCCUCUGUUACUUCAUAAAUGAUCACAGUGAUUACCCUAUGAUGCAGGAUGAGGUGAGGGAUGCCACCGUCUAGCUGAGCUUCCACAUAUUAGAGGAGAGGGGGUUUGACUGAAGUGCUUCUCUUCUCAAAGCUUUUUCUUUCUUUUUCUUUUUUUUUUUUUAAGCAUUGGCUGACAUUUUGAAUUGUGUCUCAGUGAAAACUGAGGACAAUACCUAUUAGGAGUGAUGCAAAUAAAUAUAUUUUCUUAUUUUUAUAUUUAAAAAACCCUGAAAAGUAAAAUUAGCAAAGAAAGAAACUCCUAAGACCGCCUACCUACAUUCUCCUAUCUCUGCUACAAGGACCAAGAGCUUGAUUUAGCCUCUACACACACAUGCACAUGCACACACACGAAGAACCAAGUGUGAGAAUCAAAUAUUAAACAGAACAACUUUUUUUUUUGUCACUGUCCACUCAUACAUCACAUGUGUGAAGAGCCUGAGGUCCCCAAAGACUGUGUGUGAGAUGGACAUUACAGUAUCACAUUCAAAUGGCCUUUUUCAUAGGCGAAUCUUUUUGGUUCCAGAUACUCAUUCUCUCUGCUUGGUUCACAUUCCAGUCACCAUCAUGAAUGGAUACACGUGUUCUUUGUUGUCAGUUUGACUUGCCUUCUCCUUGAAUAGUUCCUGCAGAAAUUUAGCCCCACUUUAAACAUAUCAAAUGCACCCAUUAUCUUCACAGUCGAGGGCUGUUUUUCUUUCCUGGGAAGAAGUUCUCUUGUAACAAGGGACUCUCGGCAUCAAUGAUGAAUGUUAGCGGUUUCAGACAUUGAACAAAGGGUAUGCAAAGCAAUAUUUGGUGAGAGAGAGAGGUUGAGAACAAGAGAGUGUUCCAGAGAGAGAAAGAAAGAGACAGAGGAGAGAGAAAAAUCCCUUUAUAAAGUCAUUGAAAUACAACUUCAGAUACUCUUGUGUUUCUGGGAAGCCUCUAUAUAUAAAAAGUAGCAUCCUUCCAUUAAGUUCUAAAUUAAGUUAAUAAAAACAAUUUGAAGCAGAGGGGCCAAGUCUGCUUUCUGGAGGCCACAGUGAGUUGGGCAGUGGUGAUCGUUUCCAUGAGAAAAUUAGUUGAUUGUGGGAACCUAAUGAUUUCUCUGGAUUUAUUUCUGCCUCAGUCAUAUGGUAAAUGAAAGCAUCAUGUUACUCUUCCUCUGUUGCUUUCUCUCGCUUUAAUUUUUCUUAAAAUAAAUUUCCUUUACCAUCUCGAAGUAAAACAAAAAUCUCCCAGUCUCCCUGCUGCUGGGGUCCAAAAAGCCAGUGAUGAGAUUUGUCACGGGCUGCUCAGUGCUCUUGAAUUAGAGCAAAGAUGGACCCGCUCAGGUGACUGUAAUAUAGAUAAGAGGAGGUUGCCUAGCUCAGAAAAGAAUCUGUUUUUCUUUGACUGCACCUCAGCAAAGGUCAAAUAGGAUUAAAUUUUUUAAGUUGACCAGAACAAAGAUAGAUGAGUUGAUUUUCAGUGCAAAUUUGGUUAUGUCAAACCAAGUAGCACCAGAAAUAUGAUCGAUUAACCUCUGGAGAGUCGAUGGCAUAUUUCAUUUCACUCCCUCUGGAGUCACCAUGAACACUGUGCUGUCUUUCAGGAUGAUGGAUUUACAGGGAUUUCCAAAUGUCUGUUAAUGCCCUUCACCCACUUUGCUGAGAUCAGUCAUCUGAACAAAUGGUUUGAAGAUUUUGUGUGAAGAUGCUAUAAAAAGAGUCAUUGGUUUCCCUUGUUCAUAGUAGUUAUUAUGUAUAUGGGUAGAGAGGAGGCUACAAUUUGAGAAUUAAUGUCAUUGAAAAUGAGGGCAAUAUUUGAGAGCCUUGAAUUCUCUGAAGAGUUCAAAUAAAGAUGUCUAUUUUGAAGAGUAUCUUUAUUUUCUUGUUGAAUAAAGAUCUUAAACUUUUUGUUUUUUCAAAGUACAUAUUUCUGUGGCUUUUCAUAUUUCCACAUGCUAUGCAAGUUAUUAAAACCCCAAAUUUUCUGUAUCUGAUUGCAACGGGGCUGCUAAAAAGGAAUGGAUAACAAUAAAAGCAAAAUGGAGAGUGCUUAGAGAGCAUAACAGAGUCAUCAUGGAAAACAGUGGUAAUUUUUAACCUUGCUUUUCCAAGCUAGAGUUUUUGAGAGGACAGCGAGUGCAUAGGCUGCUAUCAUCUUCUCUAAAACAGAAAUGUGAGUAGACAUUUGGCUGAAAACCACAUUUUUCAUUGUUAAUGGAAAUAACAUUUAAAAUGUAUAAGACGUAUAUGUAUAUAUUUAAUAAUCAUCUAUUGAGAGAUUUCUAUAUAUUAGAGACUGUAAUAGUUGAAGUGAUAAUUUUGGACAGUCAACCCUGAUCACAAUAUAUGGAUGUGUGUGUGCAAAGGAUCACACAAACUGUAGUACAAUGUGAUAACAUAUAAAUGCUAGACAAUUAUUAUAAACCAUGCACUACAGGGAAAAUGAAAAGAGAUGAAUUAAUUAUAUUAUGGAGGAAGAAGAGGAAGAAGGGAGGAAAAUGAAGAAGGCCUUACAAAGGAGGUGAGCACAUGAACUUUGAAUCAUGAGUAAGAUUUAAGAUUUUUUUUUUUUUUUUGAGAUGGAGUCUCACUCUGUUACCCAG